rnacentral:rRNA from 1 species
GGCAAGCCUGAUCCACCCAUGCCCCGUGGGUGAUGAAGGCCUUCGGGUUGUAAAGCACUUUUAGUCCGGGAAGAAAAAGACUGCUACCUGUGUACCAGAUAGGGGGAGGACGGGUCCGUGCCAACACCCCCCGCCCUACUAAAAUGACAGCAGCCGCGGUAAUA